UCUCUAGUUCAUUCUUCACACUUCACACUUC
rnacentral:piRNA from 1 species